rnacentral:snoRNA from 1 species
GACUGUAUUUUCAGGGAUCAUUUCUAUAGUUCUUUACUUGGAAAUGUGUUUUGAAAGUGUUUGUCUCUCAACCCGCGAUGAUGAGCUGUAAUGCUUCUUUCUGAGAGUGAAUCAAGGUCAGAACUGUGACUUUAGUCGCAAUCUGUCGUUGAUGAGCAGUCAAGGGUAGAACUGUGAAUUUAGUCACAAUCUGUCGUUGAUGAGCGUUAAUAUUGUUUUUGGCAAUAUUGAAGAAAGGGGUAUGAUCUGAGUGGU